rnacentral:tRNA from 1 species
GCCUCCUGUAGCUCAGCGGUAGAGCGCCCCACUUAUUCUUAGGACUAUUGUUAGGGGAGGGCCGCGGUUCGAAUCCGCGCAGAGGCA